rnacentral:rRNA from 1 species
AACGAACGCUGGCGGCACGCCUCAUACAUGCAAGUCGAGCGCGAAACCACCUUCGGGUGAUGUAGAGCGGCGAACGGGUGAGUAACAGGUGGAUAAUCUGCCCUUUGGCGGGGGACAACAGCUGGAAACGGCUGCUAAUACCGCAUGUGGUUGUAUGCUCAUGGUGUACAAAGAAAGACGCCUCAAAGCGUCACCAAAGGAUGAGUCCGCCCCCCAUUAGCUAGUUGGUGAGAUAACAGCUCACCAAGGCAUCGAUGGGUAGCCGAGCUGAGAGGUUGAUCGGCCACACUGGAACUGAGACACGGUCCAGACACCUACGGGUGGCAGCAGUAGGGAAUAUUGCGCAAUGGGCGAAAGCCUGACGCAGCGAUGCCGCGUGAGUGACGAAGGUCUUAGGAUUGUAAAGCUCUUUUCUGUAGGGAAGAAUAGGUCUGCGAGGAAAUGGCGCGGAUUCUGACGGUACCUCAGGAAUAAGGAACGGCUAACUCCG